UGCAAGUCGAACGCUGAAGCCGACAGCUUGCUGUUGGUGGAUGAGUGGCGAACGGGUGAGUAACACGUGAGUAACCUGCCCCUGAUUUCGGGAUAAGCCUGGGAAACUGGGUCUAAUACCGGAUACGACCAAUCCUCGCAUGAGGGUUGGUGGAAAGUUUUUCGAUCGGGGAUGGGCUCGCGGCCUAUCAGCUUGUUGGUGGGGUAAUGGCCUACCAAGGCGACGACGGGUAGCCGGCCUGAGAGGGCGACCGGCCACACUGGGACUGAGACACGGCCCAGACUCCUACGGGAGGCAGCAGUGGGGAAUAUUGCACAAUGGGGGAAACCCUGAUGCAGCGACGCAGCGUGCGGGAUGACGGCCUUCGGGUUGUAAACCGCUUUCAGCAGGGAAGAAGCGAAAGUGACGGUACCUGCAGAAGAAGUACCGGCUAACUACGUGCCAGCAGCCGCGGUAAUACGUAGGGUACGAGCGUUGUCCGGAAUUAUUGGGCGUAAAGAGCUCGUAGGUGGUUGGUCACGUCUGCUGUGGAAACGCAACGCUUAACGUUGCGCGUGCAGUGGGUACGGGCUGACUAGAGUGCAGUAGGGGAGUCUGGAAUUCCUGGUGUAGCGGUGAAAUGCGCAGAUAUCAGGAGGAACACCGGUGGCGAAGGCGGGACUCUGGGCUGUAACUGACACUGAGGAGCGAAAGCAUGGGGAGCGAACAGGAUUAGAUACCCUGGUAGUCCAUGCCGUAAACGUUGGGCACUAGGUGUGGGGGACAUUCCACGUUCUCCGCGCCGUAGCUAACGCAUUAAGU
rnacentral:rRNA from 1 species